UACAGAGGGUGCGAGCGUUAAUCGGAAUUACUGGGCGUAAAGCGUGCGUAGACGGUUAUUUAAGUCGGAUGUGAAAGCCCCGGGCUCAACCUGGGAAUUGCAUUCGAGACUGAAUAGCUAGGGUACGGUAGAGGGAAGCGGAAUUCCUGGUGUAGCGGUGAAAUGCGCAGAUAUCAGGAGGAACACCGGUGGCGAAGGCGGGUCUCUGGGCCGAUACUGACGCUGAGGAGCGAAAGCGUGGGGAGCAAACAGG
rnacentral:rRNA from 1 species